rnacentral:rRNA from 1 species
UACGAAGGGGGCUAGCGUUGUUCGGAAUUACUGGGCGUAAAGCGUGCGCAGGCGGCUUCUCAAGUCAGGGGUGAAAGCCCAGAGCUCAACUCUGGAAUUGCCUUUGAGACUGAGUGGCUUGAGUACGAGAGAGGUGAGUGGAAUUCCCAGUGUAGAGGUGAAAUUCGUAGAUAUUGGGAAGAAACACCGGUGGCGAAGGCGGCUCACUGGCCCGGUACUGACGCUGAUGUGCGAAAAGCGUGGGGAGCCAAACAGG